UACGUAGGGGGCAAGCGUUGUCCGGAAUCAUUGGGCGUAAAGAGCGUGUAGGCGGCUCGGUAAGUCCGCUGUGAAAGUCCAGGGCUCAACCCUGGAAUGCCGGUGGAAACUGUCGAGCUAGAGUCCGGAAGAGGCGAGUGGAAUUCCUGGUGUAGCGGUGAAAUGCGCAGAUAUCAGGAGGAACACCAAUGGCGAAGGCAGCUCGCUGGGACGGUACUGACGCCUGAGACGCGAAAGCGUGGGGAGCAAACAGG
rnacentral:rRNA from 1 species